rnacentral:misc_RNA from 1 species
AAAGAAAUGGGCCAAUCAAAUAGCGAUCAAAACCUUACUUCGGUCCUUAUAUCCGGGAUACCAAGGCGGUCUGUUCGUCUCGAAGAUCAACAAAACAGAAGUCAUGGCAACAUACAAGAAGACAUCUUUGGCUGGUGGUGGCAGGAAGAAGGCUGGGCCCAAGCCGGAACUGACUGAGGAACAGAAGCAGGAGAUCAGAGAGGCGUUUGACCUGUUUGAUGCUGAUGGCUCCGGCACAAUAGAUGCCAAAGAGCUUAAGGUUGCAAUGAGAGCCUUAGGUUUUGAGCCCAAAAAGGAAGAAAUAAAGAAAAUGAUUGCUGAUAUUGACAAAGAAGGAACAGGUACGAUUGACUUCAAUGACUUCCUGACGCUAAUGACGCAGAAGAUGAGUGAGAAGGAUGCAAAGGAGGAGAUUCUCAAAGCCUUCCGUCUAUUUGAUGAUGAUGAGACAGGAAAAAUAUCUUUCAAAAACCUCAAACGUGUUGCCAAAGAAUUAGGAGAAAAUCUCACAGAUGAAGAACUGCAGGAAAUGAUUGAUGAGGCUGACAGGGAUGGUGAUGGUGAAAUCAAUCAAGAGGAAUUCUUAAGGAUAAUGAAGAAGACAAGCUUAUACUGAUGUGUCUAUGUACAUAAGACUGUAUAUAGGAGUCAUUCAGUGACACCCAAACCAGUGGGUGUCGUCUGGAAAGUGAGGCAGCCUGGUAUUAUUGACAGAUCUGGACAUUGGUCAUCUAGGGUGUGUGUCAAAAGUUACAAUAUCGUUUUUUCCUUGGACAAUCUUUAUGAUACAAGCAUUUGUGGAGAAGAGUCAUUUCUUAGAUUUCAGGGGAGAUAACUCAUUGCAAUUCAUCAGGAAUGUUGGAUACUGUACAAUCAGCCUUUCUAUUAUGCUCAGAUUUCUGUUAAAUUGGCAAAGGAUAGUAUUUAACAUAAAGUAUAUAAAUGUGGAAGUUGACAGGUUUUACAUUUGAUAUUACAGUACAUCUACAGUACAGUGACAUCAACUUUUCACACAUCCUAUUCUUAAAAUGGCCUUUCAUGAACUGCUGUAGAAAUGCAACGCUGGUGCACUUAUGCAAUACUUCUUUGCAACCUCAAUAUCAUUAUCGUCAAUACUUCACAUGUUUUCCAUCAUGUUACUCUGUAAUUUGUGAAUAUAUUCAGCUAAUAUUGUGGUGAUGAGUGUAUUUGUACUCAACUAUUGAAAUGAAGUGGUGCAUUGCCAGGUGAGAGCUGCUCUGUGUAUAAACUUUGUGCAAGCACUACUAUUGCCUCUCAGUAAUUUUGAGUAAAGUGAUGUGUUGAAUCGUGUUUGAUAAGGUUCACUAAACCAUAGCACUCCAAGUGUGUGCCUGAGGGUCUUGUCAAGGAGAGAGCUAGUGUGCAGGUAGCGUAUACGGAGAGCCCAUUGUCCGAGGUACUCAAUCUGGCUUGAGCCAGGCCAUUGCUUUAUAUGAUGGUUAAAAAUGACGAUUUCAUCACAAACAGCUGUAUGUAUUAAUAAAUUAAAGAAGAAUGUUUUGUAUACAGUCCUGUGAAAUACUGAUGAUGCCGCAACAACUUCCCAACAUCUAAAUUAAAUUUCUUCUGAUUCAAUUAUUUCAUCAAGCAAGGAGCAUGCUUAUCGGACUUAUUUUGCCCCAUGGUGAAAAAUGUAUUUUUUAGAAUAUUCAGCUGAUUCAAGUGUUUGGUAUUCAGAUAAAGCCAUUCAACUCCCAUUACAUUUGUGAAAUAUGUACUAAGAGUAAGACCUCAUCAGCUAUGCCAUGCUCCAUUUGUCUUUGUUCAGAGAGGAAAACUGCCAAAUUCAUUUUGAUGUUAGAAAUAUUGUACAUUGAAUAUCAUGUUGGUAGACUGUUAUUUCUAUGUCUACAAGUGUUGAACAUGAUGAAAAGUGUUGAAUAUGAUGAAAAAUGUUUGAAUUCUGUUUCCUUUUGUCCAUGUUCUUUAUGUAUUUAUUCAGUAUUAUCAAUGACAAGUGCUACACAUGGACUGGGUGUUGUGUAUGAUACCCUUGCUUGUCAACCUUAAGUUAAUUGAAACAAGAAAAAUAUGAAAUAGUAGCCAAUGUCAUUAUGUUUAUCACUCUAAAAAAUAAAUGCUUAUCAGAUGUUCAGAAGUAAAAAGAAUUACUUUUACAUUUAGUAGUCAUUCAAUUAACAUUCCUUUCUUUCUGAAUAUAUUUCCUUCACAUUGCCAGCCUCAUUACUUCAUGUUCGAAACAUUCCGCUACCAAGGGAGCAAAGAUAUUCUUUAUCAAUUGUGUAUUUUGUCUCCAUUUCUCAAGUCAUUACUGGCAAAUGACAGCAUUACUUCCAGUCCAUCUCAGUCAAAGUAGUUGUCAGGGUUACGGAUUGGCAGAUAUCCCUUUCUCCAAUUUUAGGAAACAGACCAUCUUUGUGUUAACUUACUGCUGGUGCAAAACCAUCUAAUAUACCUCCAGGGCUUGCAUUUUGAUGAAGUCACUAUACCCUGGAUCAAUUUCAGUAGUUCAGGAAAUCUCAAAUUACCUGCCCUUGAGUUUCAUAAAUAUUUCACGGACUAGUCAAAUGUGAAAGGAAGAAAGAAAUGGGUAAGGGAGGUAACUCAUAUUGCUAUGGUGUUAAUGUGACCCACCCAGUGUUGAGGCUUAUUUGUAACUAGUAUUUUGAUUAGAAUGUUAGAUUUAUUAGCAAAGCUGUUAAAAUCACUUGUCAAAAUCAGGGGCAGGUAAUUUGAGAUCACAAAAACCCCAGGAAUAGAUCAAGGGGUUAAUUGAGAGGAUGGUGCAACAUCUUUCCCCUCAUCUAUUCUAUAUUUGAGUGAGACCACUAUGCAUGCAGGACCAGAGUCAUUCUUCUUUUACAGGGAAGGGCGGUGAGGUAGCCUAGUGGUUAAAGCAUUUGCUCGUCACGCCGAAGACCCGGGUUCAAUUCCCAACAUGGGUAUAAUGUGUGAAGCCCAUUUCUGGUGUCUCCUGCCGUGAUAUUGCUGGAAUAUUGCUUAAAGCUGUGUAAAACUGAACUCACUCACUCACUCUUUUAUAGAGUCUGUCUGGCAUAGAUGUAAUGGUAUUAAGGAAUACUAUACUACUCACCUUUUGACAGGGAUAAUCAGAUGUCAUAUUUUUAUACACACUUGACAUAACUAUCGUAUCAUUGAGAGAUAUAAGUAUCCCUUAUCAAAAUUUGAGUAGUAUAUCCGUGUGUUAUGGCAAAUCAAUAUUUCUAGUUUCCAGCUUUGUAAUGGAUUUGUUUUAUUUCUCAAUUCCAACUAUACGAUAAAACUCUAGUGUUAAUAGUAAUGUGCAUGUGUUGGGUGAUAUCUUUGUCAGUGAUUUAAAAUGUAAUGUGUAAGCAUUUUCAAACAGCACUUUCUCAGCAGAUACAACUAGUCUUCCCAAAUACACUUUCCGUCACAUAAAGACAGCACACUGUGUUUCAGUAAUACAAGAACAGGCUCAUUUGUAGGAGACAGAAAUCCUUUAUUACACUCUGACAUUUAUGAUUAAUGUAAUUACUUUUGAAAGCCCAACUGUUGCUUAAUGAAGAGUGAACAGUUAGGAAACAGCAGGGCCCCUGUUUUCGAUAACCACUGUGUGCAUUAUUUCUUUUAUUACCCCAUGACUAUAGUCCAUCUGCCUUCAAGAGGUCAUAUAUUUAUUGGGUCACAUAUUCUUGUCUCAGACUGAAUGUAGACAUGUUGUACAAAGUGUUCAUGUUGCCUGUCAUAAUAAAUAAUAUUUUGUGUUCA